CAGCAGUGCAUGGACGAGCCACAAGGGUCCGAGGAGAAACUUUGUGUGGGAGGAUUAUAUCCUGGACUACUGCAGAGGGGUUCAUAAGUCCCAAGUCUUUGAGAGAUGGAGGGGUAACGAGUUUAUUUACUUCGUUCUGAACCUUCCCGAGGCAAGGCACUGGGUCACACUUGAAGUCGACAUAGAGCUGUGGAAAAUUAAUGUCUACGACUGUGAUUCCAGCGUCUAUCAUUGGACCGCCAUGGAACCCAUCCUGAAGACUUGGGGAGAACUGCUGCCCUCGCUAAUCCUUGCAACCGGGGAAUUUCCACAUAACAACCAGAUCAUGGCGUUAACUAACAGGGACAUCACGGUGCUUCCAAAAAUGCAUUCGACUCGAGCCACUCACGACUUAGUUCCGAAGUCAACAACCAGGUACAUAGCGAUAAAAAAGUACUAUAGUAUUAAAAUAUGUUUUACAUUAGACUGACUUUACAUUUUAUUUUGCAUUUAGUGGUGAUUGUGGCGUCUAUUGCAUUGAGUAUGUGGAGCAUCUCAUGAUGCAACGUGGAUUGACCGAUGUGACGCCAGGGCGGAUAGCUAUGUUUCGUCAACGGUGGUGUGUUGAUUUAUUUUACCAAAAUGUCGGCUGAUUAUAUGUGUAAUUAUUGGGACAUUGUAUAUUUUGUGUAAUUAACAUUACAGUUAUGUAUAUAUAGACUUUCUCUUCGUUCAAA